GUUCUCUGCUUUAGUCGUAACCUAAUAUUUAGCAGCGCUAACUGCGUAGCCUUUCCCUCUCUGCUAACAGGACAGAUGUCAUCGCCCCAAAUAGUUUGAGUCAUCGUACGCCUCCACACACCCCUGAGUAACCCAAGGACAUCAGCGUGUGGAGAGGGCUGUGAUUCUAAAUCUCAAGAUGUCGUGGCAACUUUAGUGUUCGAUGUCUCUCUCGGGGGACACGAGGAGGAAAAGAGAGAUCUUGAACACUGUCGCCCAACCAAUAUAUGAGCUGAUACAAAUGUUAAGUGAUUCUAAAAUAAUGAGAUGGAUGGAGGGGGAAAUAAAGGGAAAAGUAGAUGAAUGAAGAAAGACGAAAGAAGAAGAAAGACAGUAAAAGAUAAAUACGUAUUUGUUUUGUUUUUUUUAUUCUUAUGUUGCGACCAUGGGUUUGGUUUUUAAUGUCAGGAGCAGAGCUAACGGGAGCGUUAAGAUGAUUGUCAUCAAUUCACAUCUUGGCAUUUCAACCACCCUGCUUCAAAUCUGAGUUUUUGAAAUGCAAAUCCAGCGGCGGACGUUCAGACAAAUGAAAAGAUGUGCAGAUGAGUCGUAGAAGACCAAUAAAGUCACACAUUUACACUGUUUAUCCUGUGGA
rnacentral:lncRNA from 1 species